GAUCCUGGCUCAGGAUGAACGCUAGCGGCAGGCUUAACACAUGCAAGUCGAGGGGCAGCAUGGGACGGAGAUUCGUCGAAGUCCUGAUGGCGACCGGCGCAAGGGUGCGUAACGCGUGAGCAACUUGCCCGUUUCUGGGGAAUAACCGGUGGAAACGCCGACUAAUACCCCCAUAGUAUUGAGUUCAGGCAUCUUUACUCAAUUAAAGAAUUUCGGAAACGGAUAGGCUCGCGUGACAUUAGCUAGAUGGCGGGGUAACGGCCCACCAUGGCGACGAUGUCUAGGGGUUCUGAGAGGAAGGUCCCCCACACUGGAACUGAGACACGGUCCAGACUCCUACGGGAGGCAGCAGUGAGGAAUAUUGGUCAAUGGGCGCAAGCCUGAACCAGCCAAGUAGCGUGAAGGAUGACUGCCCUAUGGGUUGUAAACUUCUUUUUACGGGAACAAAUGUUGCUACGUGUAGCAAUUUGCGUGUACCGUACGAAUAAGCAUUGGCUAACUCCGUG
rnacentral:rRNA from 1 species